rnacentral:rRNA from 1 species
GAGUAACGCGUGGGGAAACCUGCCCUAUACUGGGGGAUAGCAGUUGGAAACGACUGAUAAUACCGCAUAAGCGCACAGCACCGCAUGGUGCAGUGUGAAAAACUCCGGUGGUAUAGGAUGGUCCCGCGUCUGAUUAGCUAGUUGGUGAGGUAACGGCCCACCAAGGCGACGAUCAGUAGCCGGCCUGAGAGGGUGUACGGCCACAUUGGGACUGAGACACGGCCCAAACUCCUACGGGAGGCAGCAGUGGGGAAUAUUGGACAAUGGGGGGAAACCCUGAUCCAGCGACGCCCGCGUGAGUGAAGAAGUAUCUCGGUAUGUUAAAGCUCUAUCCAGCAGGGAGGAUAAUGACGGUACCUGACUAAGAAGCACCGGCUAAAUACGUGCCAGCAGCAGC